CCACAACACAAAGCUGGAUGUGCCCUCUCAAACUUUUUCCACGACGCACGGCGACGCGCGCAGAACAAACCAUCCACAGUUCUGUCCUUAGGUGGAUUUUAACACCAGAUUAACCAGCAAAGCGCUUUCUCCUGUGGGAGGUUACGGAAGUAAAAAAUAUGUGGAAAUCACAUGGAAGAUGUACAGAGGCACCUAUCAAGCUGCUUUUAAGACGCAGAGGAGGAUUAAGAGACUGUGCAAUUUUCUUUUGGAGAAGGUGAAGUCUCAUCUCUUAAGGAUUUAAACUUCAGCAGCAGCAGCAGUGCCAAGCGGUAUGCGUUUUAGGCACACUUGGAAAUCUAAAACUCAUGAAGACACUUUGAGGAUUAUAAAAAAUAUCUAGUAUGUCUCUCUCCACAAGAUGCGUCCCAGCCCAAAGUCACUGGGAUAGCAGGAUAUUGCAUUUAUGAUCCUCCUCGGCCCUCCGCAUGGGGAGUGUGGGAGUGGUGAGGUCUGGGAGAUCACGACCUUAAUUCUCUCCAAGACAGACGGUUUAAUUAACACUGGAGGAAUCCUCACUGGCUCCAGACCUCUACAAUGGGAAAGUACAGGGGAACUGGAUUGUCAAGGCUCCCUUCUCUGUAGUUCACGUUGAAUCAAGACCACCUCACAGGGAUUUUCCCCUUCACCAGGUGUGGCAGUCAGAGUAAGAGGGGAAGAUCAACUUGUCUAGACAUGACUGUGAGGAUCUGCAAAGAAACCUGUGUGAAAACAGUAAAGGAAAAUGAAGAUCAAGAGGAAAACAGCUAGAUGGAGAGAAAACAUCAGAGCAGGGAGGGGAGAUCAAUUUAAUUUAGUUAAAUUAUGUAUAUUUGUCGCAUAAAAGGUAACAGCUAAGUGUUUGUCAUCUCUGUUGUGAUAUGAGUUUGGGAUAUGCAAUGUUAGAAAAACAUUAUGCAUUGAUGUUAUUUUGUAUGUGUUGUAUAGUGAAAAUCCUAACAAGUAUUGCCGGCAAGUUUUGUUUAUGUUGUUUUAAAAAACAAUCCGAGGAAGUGUUGUCAUAUUUCAGUGGUUCUCAAUGGGGUCAAGGGAUCCUUCAGCGGGUUCCAGGAGGUCCCCAGCAAAAAAGGGGAAUCAUUUAUUUUCAAAAUAUUUCCAUAAUAUAAGUUACACAAUGACAGAAUGUAUGGCUGUUUUAGUCACGGGUUUCAUGCAGUUUCUGUAAUUUAACAUCUAAAAGCAAAAAUCCUAUCAGAUGGGGGACCCUGGGACAAAAUCAGAUGGGGGUCAUUGAUGGAAUUUGUGUCAGUUUAGACGUUCCUGAUGUGAAAACGUUUGAGAACCACUGUUACGUAUGUGCUAUUCUCUUUUUGUUCCACAAUACUGUAAAUGCAUGUUUUAAAGCACGUAACUUUGUAGAUUUGAGAGUAAAUGUGGUCAGAAAAACAGUUUUGACAAUCCUUGUGUCUGGUGCAAUAACAUGUUCAUGUAUGUGCACUGUAUCUGUUAAGAAGCAAUGAUCCCAGUAUGGUCACAGGGGAACAAAGGGACAUGUACUCAUACAAUAUGUAAGGGUAUGUGGAGAAAUAUUCCCUGACUAUAGUGCUCUCAUGUGACAAUAUAUGUACAGUGUUUCACUUUUAUCAUCUCAACAUAGAUUAUUAAUGAAUAUUGUACUGUCCUAUGAAACAUCUAGAUAAUAUAAUGUUGAAAAAAAUAAUGUUAAUAGUUACUCUAAAGAAAACUAUACUUGUCUAAUGAGAAUCUAGCAGUGCAGCAGUUGUGCAUUGUGCAGAGUACCUCUUCCUUUGCAACAUCAAGAGAAGGAGACAAUUGCUUUCUCUUCCACUUCUGUGCUGUAAAGCACUGUAAGUAGCUUAGAGCUGUGUUGCUUGCUGCAGGGUGCGGUGGUACGAUGGUGGUACCUUACUUCUACCCACCAUUUCUGACUUUGGCUCUUAAAAAAACAUUGCAUCAUAGAUACAAUGGUGUUUUAAAUUCUAAAGUAAAUGGCUUUUCUAGCCUCCUUUAGACAAAAUGUUUGUGGUUACAUCCUUUAUCUUUACAAGUUCAGUUUGACAUGUAAUGAUAGAAACCACCUUUCAACCAUAAUGAUAGGUGUACUUUACCUACCAUCUAAGUCAUAUACAAUUAUGUGGCUUUCUUUUUACUUUACAGUCGACACGGACUUUCUUCUCCUCUAAAAAUUCCAUUCAUCCAUCCAUCGUCAACCGCUUAUCCUGCGCACAGGGUCGCAGGGGGCUAGAGCCAAUCCCAUCUUACAUUGGGCGAAAGGCGGGUAACACCCUAGACAGGUCGCCAGUCCAUCACAGGGCCACAGACAGACAAACAACCACUCACAUCCACACCUAAGGUCAAUUUUGGAGACACUAAAAGCAUGCUGCAUGUCUUUGUAUGGUGGGAGGAAACCAGAUGCACCUGGAGAGAACCCACACAGACAUGGGGAGAACAUGCAAACUCCACACAGAAAGGCUGGGGCAACCAGGGUUUGAACCCAUGACCUUCUUGCUGUGUGGCAAUAGUGCUAACCACUGCAACACCACACCGCCCCCUCUAGAUAUUGUUAUAUUUUAAUUAAUGACCUGACAUAGGCUAACAAAAACCAUGCUAAGAGGCUACAGCUACACUAGUGGCUCUGUAGCGUUAGGCAUGCUUUGAAGAUGUUUUUGAGCUAAAUGCUAACAUCAGCAAGCUAACAUAUUUUUACUGGCAAUACUAAAAUGCUAAUGUCAUCCAGCCAUCAACUGUCGAGACACUUCACUAUAACCCUAAAAUAUAAAUAUGUGGCAGAAGUGGAAAAGUCUGGGGUUUACCAAGGUCACUAGGUGAAUGUUUUGAAUGUUUUAACCAGUCAUUCAUGUGAGAUUUUCUUUCUGUAAAUAAGAUAACAUAUUUUCAGCAAGUGUUGAAAAUCCAAAAUAACAGAGCUGGGUUAGCCCUAUUACACCCCUCAGUGAACAGUUUUGAGGCCUCCCUAUCUGCCUCCCUCCAUCUUUGUCUGUGGUUACUAACCCCAGCUACAGUGGUCAGAAAUGGGCCCCCCAUGUUUUCCAUGGACAGUUUAUCACACUUCCUUCCACACUUCUGGGCCCCCAGUCAGUCCGCCAGACAGGAAAAUCAAAGACUGUGGGACAUACCAUUACAGUGCAAAUGGUAUAUUGCACUGUACAACAUGUUGAUGAUAUAUAACCUUAAAGUCUCACAAGUAAAUACAGGAAUGAGGUCUGAGCUGAGUUUAGCUUUAAAUGUUUGAAUUGCAUAUUGAAUUGAUUGAAAGUGAUUUAAAAUCAUCCUACACAUUGAAUGGUAUGGCAAAAUUAUUUAAUUUGAAUGUCUGUGAAUG